AGCACGCCCCGACCUGAGUGGAGCUCUUUUUUGUUUUUGCGAUUGUAUAAAAGUUCAGCAGAUUGCUUCACUUCGUUCGCAAUGACAAAAAAAAGCGGGAACAGAGGGCGGAUAAAGGC
rnacentral:sRNA from 1 species